rnacentral:rRNA from 1 species
GGGUCAGUAGGUUGGACGUGCCACCGGUACGUACUGGUCUCACUGAUUCCUCCUUCCUGAAGAACCGUAAUGCCAUCAAUUUGGUGUUGCGGGGAAACAGGACUGUUACUUUGAAAAAAUUAGAGUGUUUAAAGCAGGCUAACGCUUGAAUACAUUAGCAUGGAAUAAUGAAAUAGGACGAUCGAUCCUAUUUUGUUGGUUUCUAGGAUUGACGUG